rnacentral:lncRNA from 1 species
UUUGCCCGCAGGCCCCCAUGUGACAGAGGCUCUUACAAAAGAGUUUGUUUACAUGCAUCAAGUUACCAACAUUUUCCAAGAAAUUAGGGUGUUGACCAAUACAAUCUCAUUGAGAUGGGGUUAUGAGAGUGGUCCCUAAUUCAGUAUGACUGUAUUCUUAUAGAAAGAAGGGAAUUUGAAGGCAGACACACACAGGAAGGGGAACACAUUUAGAAGAUAGAGAUACAGAUUAGAUUUGUGCAAUGGCAAGCCAAGAAAUACCAACGGUUGAUGACGCUAUGGUGUGAAGAUUUGUCUCCUCCAAAACUCAUGUUGAAAUGUAAUCCCCAAGGUAGCAGUAUGGAGAGGUAGAGCCUUGAAGAGGUGAUUGGUCUGCCCUCAUGAAUGGAUUAAUCCAUUGAUGGAUCAAUGGGUUAAUGGAUUAUCAUAGGAGGGGAACGGGUGGCUUUAUAUUAGGAGGAAGAGAUACCUGGGCUAACAUGCUCCACUUCCUCAUCAUGUGAUGUCCUGUGCUACCAUGAGACUCUACAGAGUUCCCAGCAGCAAGAAGGCCCUGAGCAGAUAUGGCCCUCUGACCUUGGACUUCUCAGCCUCCGUGACUAAGCCACUGAGACAGUGGUGGGGCAGCCACCUUCUCGUUCUUCUUCUUCUUCCUGCUUUCCCUCAGAGAUGGACUCUUAAUAAGAUAUCUCAGAAGCUGGACUGGCCUAACUGGAAUGAAGAAGGAGAAGUCAACAUUUGGGAAGUGUUUACCAUGGACCAGGAGGUAAUAUAACACAUCAUUUAACUCUCCCAACUAGCCUGGAGCACAGAUUCCACUACCUCCCCAUAACAAUGAGAAAAGCAAGGCUCAGAGAGGCUUAGACACUCAUGCUGUAUGUAUUAGUCAAUUUUCACACUGAUAUAAAGAAAUACCCGAGAUUGGGUAUUUUAUAAAGAAAGGAGGUUUAAUUGACUCACAGUUUUACAUGGCCAGGGAGGCCUCAGAAAACUUAUAUCAUGGCAGAAGUGAUGGAGAAGCAAGGACCUUCUUCACAACUCAUCAAUGACAUGUUCUUCUUCCCUUAUGAAUGGCAUUUCCUUUGAACAAGUAAAUCCAUAACUUAGAGGCCAUACAAACUAUUGACCUGCUGCAAAGUGGAACCUCUGCAUUGUUGCCAUCUUCUCAUCAUAGGACUAGCAAAUAUUUCCUGACCUCUCAUUGUGGGCCACAUCAUGGGGGGCUUCUACCUGUCCUACUACAGUUACCUGCACAACUCUCCCUAUCAAUCUCACAGUUCUUAUCCUCCCAAUUUGGUAUUGUCAUUGGUGAUUUGCAGUUGGGGAAACUGAGCCUCAAAGAGAUGAGAUGCAUUUUCUAGGGACUCACAGGUUGUGGAUGCCAGCUCCAGGUUUUGGAUUUGUCUCUGUGCUAACGCCUAUGCUCAUGACCACUGCCUCUUUCAUAAUCUUAUUAUUUUAUUUUAUUUUGACACAGGGUGUCACCCUGUCACCCAGGCUGGAAUGCAGCGGAGUGAUCAUAGCUCCCUGCAGCCUCAAACUCCUGGGAUCAAGGAUCUUCCUGCCUCAGCCUCCUGAGUAGCUGGGACUAUAGGUGUGUGCAACCACUGGCUGAUAAUCUUUUUAGAAUUUAUUUUUCUUUUGGUCUCUGUAAUUUUAUUUUCCUUUGUUUAUUUAUAAGGUACACUGCUUUGAGGUUUAAAACAAUUCACUGGCACAGUGGCUCACGCCCGUAAUCCCAGCACCUUGGAAGGCCAAGGCAGGUGGAUCACGAGGUCAGGAGUUCAAGACCAUCCUGGCUAACACAGUGAAACCCCGUCUCUACUAAAAAUACAAAAAAAUUAGCCGGGCGUGGUGGUGGGCGCCUGUAGUCCCAGCUACUCGGGAGGCUGAGGCAGGAGAACAGCGUGAACCCGGAAGGCAAGGCUUGCAGUGAGCCGAGAUGGCGCCACUGCACUCCAGCCUGGGUGACAGAGCCAGACUCCGUCUCACAAAAAAUAAUAAUAAUAAUAAAAUAAACAAAGUGUCCACAUUUGGGUUACUGAAUAUCCUGUGUCUUGAUCUAGUUGGUGGUCACAUAAGUGUGCUUAUAUAUAAAAAUUCACCAACCUGUAUGCUGAAGGUUAAUGAGCUUUAUGAAGGUAUAUCCUACAUGAAUACAAUAAUUUAAAACUACAGAAAUGGAAAUUUAAAAAUAAGCAACCAAAGACAAAACAAAGCAAAAGAACAAAACAAUGAAAUCAGAAUCACAGGAUCAUAGAACACCUGCACAGAAACAGACCCACAGAAACUUGUUUUGUUUGUUCUGACACUUUUUUCACACUGCACUGUCAUGGCUUGUCUAUGAGUGCUCUGGUCAUCUCGCCAGACCAUGAGCUCACCACAGGCAGAACCUGGCACAUUUUGUCCUUUGACACAGGCUUGCAGGGUGAUUAAAAGAUUUUUCUCCUGUGAUACAUUUUAUUUGCACAAGUUAUCUGGUUUGAGUCAAAAAACCUAAUUGUAUUGACAAACAGGCCCUUGGCAAAGAUGUUUAUUGCAUACCUUAAAUUUGCAAGGUUAUCUCUUCUCAUCUUACUGAGCUCUCACCUUAAUCUUCCUGAUCAUCUCCUUCUUACCCCGUUAAGUGCCCACUCACCUAAAACACACUGGAUAAUGAUGUUUAUUACCCAACAAUGAAAAUAUUGUUAUUUAUGGUUAUAAUCAGGAUGUCAUCAAAUAUGAAUGCUCACAUUUGGUGAGGGCCUUUCAACUGAUUGUUUAUGUAAAUGAAAGUGUUCGCUCAUCAUCACAUCCAUUUUGGGAAGAAACAAUCAGCCAGGCGGGUUGUUUCUCUCUAUAAUAUCUUUUUAGUAUUCAGUUCACUGAAAACCAAUCUGCAACAAAAGAAAAAAAAACUACAAAUUUAAGGUUAGAUGUAAACCUAUAGCAAAUGUUAGCAUGCCCUGGAAUGACACAGGCAGAAGCUCAAUUGCAAUUCCUCUUCACUGGGAAACUUAGAAUGGGCCUCCAAUCUGGAUGCAGUUUCCAAUAGAGAACUAGCCUUUCCAUCCCAGUUUCUCCCACUUAGCAUGAAGUGGACAAGGCCAUUAUGCAGUGGAUGUAACCACCCCAGCCCUGGAAUUGGGCCAUCUAUAUGAUCUCAAGUUUGUCACAUUUACAAGCAAGUCUUAGUUAACUUAUCUGUUGUAUUAGUCUGUUCUCACACUGCUAAUAAAGACAUACCUGAGACUGGUUUAUGAAUAAAAGAGGUUUAAUGGACUCACAUUUCCACAUGGCUGGGGAGGCCUCACAAUCAUGGUGGAAAGCAAGGAGGAGCAAGUCAUAUCUUACAUGGAUGGCAGCAGCCAAAGAGAAAGAGAGUGUGUAGGGGAACUCUCCUUUAUGAAACCAUCAGAUCCUGUGAGACUAAUUCACCAUGACAAGAACAGUGUGGGAAGGACCCAUCCCAUGAUUCAAUUACCUCCCACUGGGUCCCUCCCAUGAAACAUGGGAAUUGUGGGAGCUACAAUUCAGGAUGAGAUUUGGGUGGGGACAUAGACAAACCAUAUCAUCUGUGAAUGGAUGCUUAGAUGGACUGUAAGUGAAAACUCUAAGCAUGUGUCCAUAACAACCAUCUCAGUGGAUAGACUCCAUUGUACUGUUAGGAAGGAGGGAAAAUGUUCUGUCUCCAACAUUUAUGGUAACUAAUGCUGAGGCUCUAAGUUACAAUAUAAAGUACAAGGAGCCCAUAGUACUAUUCUCUAAAGGGGAUACACACUUCUUUUCUAAAGAACCAGAUAGUAAAUAUUGACUCUGUGGGCCACUUAGUCUCUGCGUUCCAAAUGUGUCUGUGCAGCAAUAAAACUUUAUUUGCAAGACAUAUUUGAUCUGUGGACCAUAAUUUGUUGACCAGUGGUCUAAAGCAUCCUUACUUGAAGUAUUAUCCACAGAUCGUUAGUACUGCAAGAUAUUCUUUGCAAAAAAAAAAAAAAAAAAAAGUCUCUACACAAAUAAGUUGGGAAAUAAUUCAUAGCUUGUCCCUCUAGGGUAUUCACAUAGGGCACAUGAUCCUUCUAAAUCUGCUGCAAAGAAACGAUUGAAAACAGAAUUUUUCCAAACUUCUUUGACCUUCCUUUGCACCCAGCCUGUGUGCCUGCCCACAUGACUCUUGCUUUGGGGAAUGCAGCUCUGAGCAUGUUUUUGUCAUCCGACCCUGAGAUGCUGAAAAAAGAAAGACUCUUUAAGCCAUUUUGCUAACCUUCUGUGAUCCAUCUUAUGGGGGGUAGGAUUGAGGUCUGUGGAGGCUAACAGAUCCGGCAGGUAAGGCAGUAAACCCCUGAUUGGUGAGUUACUUUGUCCUAAUGUUCUGAAGAUCGCCAAGUAGCAGCCUCGCGACACAAUGGAAAGAUCACUUUGAGAAGAAUAAAGAGACCUGAGUCUUCGUCUUCAUGUUGCCCUCGGUUCGCUUUGUGGUUCUGGAAAGCUGCUUCAUCUUUCUGAGUUUCACCUGCAAAAUCGUUUUCCCCAUCUGAAAAAGAAAGACAUUUAUUUAGAAAAUUCCUGAAAGUUUUGCAGUGUUGUUGUUAUUGUUUCAAGCCUUCUUUUUUUUCUUGUCUUUAAGGGCAGAUUGAAUGAAUGUAGAGGUAAAAUCCCAGGAUGAGGAAACUCAGAAAUGAGGGUUAGCACUUCUUUUCUUUCUUUCUUCUUUUUUUUUUUGAGACAAAGUCUCAGUCUGUCAUCCAGGCUGUAGCACAGUGGCGUGAUCUAGGCUCACUGCAAACUCCACCUCCUGGAUUCAAGGGAUUCUCCCACCCCAGCCUCCCAAGUCGCUGGGAGGAUUACAAGCCCAUGCCACCACGCCCGGCUAAUUUUUGUAUUUUUAGUACAGAUGGGGUUUCACCAUAUGUUGGCCAGACCUCAAGUGAUCCACCCACCUCAGUCUCACAAAGUGCAGAGAUUGCAGGCAUGAGCCACUGCACCCGACCGGAUUAGCACUUCUUUAACCACGCACUUGACUUUCUGACUUUUAAUUUUGUGUUAACAAAGCUGACCAGAUUUUGGCUUCCCAAGUCAGAAUCACGAGGGUCAAAGCCCCCAGGGAAAGACAAACACAGCAGCAGCAGCAGCAGCACACACUCACAAAGACAGACGGUGGACUUGCCAUCAGGAGCACAAGUCCUGAGCUGAACUAGGGUUCCUUAUUCAUUCCUCAUGUGAACUUGCACAAAUUACCCACUUUUUUUCUUCUGACCUCAGUCCCCCAAUGUAUCACUAGAGAGUGGUACUUUAUAAACUGUUGUAAUAAGCAAAGAAUAGUUUUAUUAAUACCAUAACUGCUACCAUCACUAUGGCUACUCUACACCAAGUAUAAGAGGUGAAAGACAAUUGUGUGAUGAAUAUUAAAACACCUCAUAGAGCUGGAAGGGCCAUUGAGAAAUCAGCGAUCCACUUCCUAGCACUUCCUAUUGUUGUACAGCCUCCUCCCUUGCAAAAUGGGAAGGCUUUAAAGCCCCUUUAACUCAGAGACAUUUAGAGAGAGUGAUUUGUAAUGUCUCAGACACUGUUAAAUGUGUUUGACAUAUCAUUAUAUUUAUUCUACUAAGAUGAUGAUGGUACUAAUGGGACAAGCCUCACUUAGGAACAGGGAGACAACCUCGAUUUCUGUAGGAAAAAAAAAAUAUGUUACAAAUGGCAGGGCAAUCUCUCUCAUGGAGGGAUAGGAAGAAAUUGGCCUUGAAUCCAAAAGUUUGUAUGGAUGUUUAAAAGGAAAUACAUGACUUUGCUUUCUUGAAAAUUUAUCCAAUUGAAUUUCCUUUCAAAUGAGAACUGAAUGAAUCCUUCUUUUUAGCUUAGACCUGGGCUUCAUAAAUACCAUCUCUGCACAGUAUAUUACGCACAUCAUUUAUUCAGCAGAUAUCAUAAUAUAUUCAGGGCUGCUCUUAGGAAGAGAAAUUUCAAUAUUAGAUAAAAAUAGUGAGAUGGCGACGGUAACAGUGUUUGUCUGGUACACAGGGUAAAUAGGAUUGUUAGCGAUUGCUAAAGGCUUCAGGAAAAGAUAGGGAAACAAAGAUAGCUCGUGCCAGAUUCUGAGCCGAGCAGUUGCAGAGGUUCAAGGAAGCUUGAUUACCUUCUGCCACCACGUACUUCUAAGCAGGCCCAGAGAUGAGUUCCUCCUUUCUUAUAUUUUCUUGUAAGAAUCGCUGAAUGUUAUCCUAAUUAGAAAUCUGCUCAGAUUUGGAAACAGGCUGGCGUUGUCUUCUCUCCCUAACCCUCCAUCCUCCCACCUCUCUGUAUGUCUCUCUCUCUCUCUCUCUCUCUCUCUCUCUCUCUCUCUCUCACACACACACACACACACACACACACAUGAUAAUGUCCACUGUCCACAAAGAGUCAGAGUCUUCUCUGAGCCUGUCACCAAACUGGCUUUACACAGGCUCUGGGCCUCUCUGAACUUGAGUUCCUGGACCUGCAUGGGCAGCAAUUGGACUGAUGAAUCUCUCCAAGCCUCUCUGCCCAUGUCUUCUAAAUCCAAAGUGCUGGCCUGUAAUAAACACUAACAAUGCUUGGGCCUGGUUCUGUGUUUUAUAUGUAUCAACUCACUUAACCCUCACAACACCCAGGGAGAUAUGUAGCGUUAGUCUCUUCAUUUGGUGAGGAAUCUCUCCACUUGACAGGUGAGGAAACAGGUGGGGUACCAAGAAUUUAAGGAAUUCAUCCAAGGUCACAACCAGGAAGUGGCCGAGCCAGAAUUCCAACCUAAGCCACGUGGUUUCAAAAGCACAAAGCAGAAAGCCUAGCACAGAGCCCAGCCUCAAAGGCACAGAGCUGCAGUGAAUGCCCCUCUGGUAGACACUCCAGAGCAGUGGCUCCUGUAUGUCCACUCAUGUGUGCGUGAACAUUCAUGAAUGUACCCGACACUCUGCUUGGCACACGCAGAACUGAGACUUGCAGAAGUGUGCUAGUGUCAUCAGAACCAACCCAGGGUUGGUCCGGGGGAGACUGUCCCGGGGAAGAAAGAACUGCAAUUUAGAAGAAGAAGUCAGUGCAGCAGAGGAGGCCCUGCAGAUCCCAGGCAGCGGGGAGGCAGCCUAGGGCUAAAGGAGUCCAGGGGCUCCCGGUGAAAGAUACAUUCACAAUGUGAAGGAUGGGUCAGACAUGGAAAUGGGAAAGGCAAGCCAGGGGGAUACACAGGACAGAGAAGUGCAAAGUGAGAGGUGGGCAGGCUCUCACAACCAUGGGGCUGGGCUCAGGGCUAUUUUGUGUGAGGGAAGGGAGGCAAGAAGGCUGUAAUAGCAAACUUGAACUACUUUUUUGAUUGUUUUGUUUUCAACAAAGCUGAAUGCCAGUGAGGCAUCUGCAGGGGCUUUGGAAAGUCUGGUUGAGUUUUUGCACAAGGGUUCUUGGGCAACCUUGUCGAUACCUGGCAAGGUUGCAGCAGAGCCUGUAAUUCUCACACUUCCCAAAUCCUCCCAGAAGCCUAUACAACAGUAGACCAUGCAUUUCUUUAUUAUUUUCUACACAGGGACCACCUGGAUCCUUAUUGAAGAACAUAGACUUGAAGUUACUACAGUUAACCGACCUCCUAUUCAUUCUUCUCAUUUUUUUUUUCUGAGGCUACGGAUAAAAUGCUUACAUAGAUACACUAUGCAUUUCAUGGUUCUAUUUCUUUCCUUUUUGCUUUUACACGUGAGGCCCAGGGGGCCCACUGCACAGCAGGAGCCUGGGAAUGCGUGGGGACCAUUAGUGCUCUGUGGGACCAGAGCUUGCUCUAGCAGUCAUUGUUUUUGCCUCAUUAAGAACUUUCUCGUUUCUUCACCCACCAGUAAUAGUUGUUUGUUGUUGUUUUCUCAAGCAUUCUGACAGUUUCAAAACCAGGAAGCAUGACUCAAUCCUAGUGAGGGCUCAGUUUAAUUCUCUGAAUGAACAGAAUGAAAUUACAUAUGUAGGAAGAUUUUGUAAUCUUUCUUUAUCUACUCUGUUCACCCACCUUAAGAACCAAGCUCCAAAUGGAAGUACAGCAGGUGAUGUGUGUCUUUCUCUCACUUUCACCUCCUGGAGAGUCAACUCCUCUAGUGAGGGCUUCUAUGUACACGCUCCCACUUAGCCCCCAUUAUUUCUUCAGGGUCAGCUUCCUUAUUUCCUUUGACAGCUGAGAAAGUUGAAGUUUAGCGUCAUUACUAGUGCUGAGAAACACAGAAAGUGGUUUAAAAAAAAAAAACAAAAAUGUACCUGAUUCUAAAGUUUGUGUUCUUUCCACCACACUCAGUUUGCUUCCCCUAAAUGAAAAAAAAAGGUACACAUGUAGGAAGCUUCAAGUUCAGUCUCACUGUCUGUAAAAUGAGAUAGUGAAAAUUACUCAAAAACUAAUUGGAAGUAUUGAAUUGUUCCUGGCUUAUACAUUGUAGGGGAUAAGGUAGGUAAAUCCAGUGCUAGUUGAAUUUUGUGUUAGGCUAUUCUUGUACUGCUAUAAAGAGAUACCUAAGACUGGGUAAUUUAUAAAGAAAAGAGGUUUAAUUGGCUCAUGAUUCCCCAGGGUGUACAGGAAGCAUGGCUGGAGAAGCCUCAGGAAACUUACAAUCAUGGUGGAAGGUGAAGAAGCAGGCAUAUUUUACAUGGCUGAAGCAGGAGAAAGAGAGAGAAGGGGGAAGGUGCUACACAUUUUUAAACAAACAGAUCUCCUGAGAACUCACUCACUAUCACAACAACAGCAAGGGGGAAGUCCACCCCCGUGAUCCAAGCACCUCCCACCAGGCCCCUCCUCCAACACUGGCGAUUACAAUUCAACACGAGAUUUGGUGGGGGCACAAAUCCAAACAAUAUCAAAUUUCAAACUGGAUCUUUUAAAGGAAGAAUCAAAAGAAUGCUCUAAUGUGUUGCUGGGUGGAUAAGGGAUGUGGAAGUGGGAGAAUUCAAAUGGCUUGUUCAAUUUCAUAUGGCUCAUUACUUGGUCCUUUAAUUCUAAAUCCAGCAAGUGGGGUUUAGCCAAUGGAUUGCUUGGAAAGAACAAUUGGACUAGAUCCUCUGAUUUCUCUUCUUCCGUCUCAUCUCCUGAUUUAAUUUCUUCUUCUUUCCCUUUCCAUUUCUAUUAGUAUAGAAUGGAGAAAACAAACAAACAAACAUCAAGAAACAUAGGUUUGGAUUUUUCUCCUCUUUUUUGCUCUGUGAGUCUGCGAAAGUUCUCUUGAACUCUCUGAGACUGAUUUCUUCCUACAUAAAAGGAAGGAAUUGGUCUAAACUAUUUUAAGAUUUUAAAUCUUAAUGUCUCCCUUCCUCUCCCUUGCCACAUUCACCUCCUCUUCUUGUGAUCUAGUCUCCGGAAACUCGAAGAUUACAAGCAGAAAACUAGCCUGAUACACUUAGCAUAUGCAAAUGCUGUGCCAGAGAGACCACCAAAGCUUGGAUUCCUCCUUCUGACUCUCCAGAGAUAUAUAGGGGCAAGCCUUUCAACCAGGGCAGAAGGAUUACAAGCCACUGUACUUUGCAGUAUCCUUGAGAGAUGGAGGUGGACGGAGGGACUGUUACUUUUUGCCAUCAUGAGGAGGACACGGACUCUCGGACAAGAUAAUCCUCCUGAAGCUACUUGAGAGUGAAGUGCAGACCUAGGGCCCUGGAUUCUAGAGCCCAGAACCACCAGCUGGCCUGGACUUCCAACCUCCAAAUUCAGGCCUGUUCUCACCCAGCUCAGGCACAUAGUCAAACUCAAAGGCGUGAAAAUCAAUUAGAACACGUGAGGGAAGAUGGUUCUCAGUCUGAACCAGACACACCAAUGAAUGGACUUGGAGGCCAGGCCAGGUCCCAAAUGCCUCCGCACCCCGCCGAUAUUUCUUUUGUAUAUUACAAGCCAGCAAAAUUAACGUCUGCUUGGAAAUCACACAGAGGAGGCUGGUGUGACUGCAACUCUAGCAAUGAAUGCACUUAGCAAUUCUGUAAUUUAUCAUUUGACCACUAAUAUAUGGCUAGCAGGAGGAAACAAGUGCUGGGGACUAGACACAGUUAAAUCAGAACAAGCGUCCAUCCUUCAGAAGCUUACCACGUGGUAAAAGACUUAACGUAUGUGUUCAAGUAUCUUUUUUUUUUUUUUUUUUUUUUUUCUGAGACAUGGUCUCACUCUCUCACCCAGACUGGACUGUAGUGGCUUGAUCUCCGCUCACCGCAACCUCAGCUUCCCAGGCUCAAGUGAAUCUCCUGCCUCAGCCUCCUGAGUAGCUGGGAUUACAGGCACACACCACCACUCCUGGCAAAUUUUUAUAUUUUUAGUAGAGAUGAGGUUUCACCAUGUUUGCCAGGCUGAUCUCGAACUCCUGACUUCAAAUGAUCCACCUGCCUUGGCCUCCCAAAAUGCUGGAAUUACAGGCAUGAGCCACUACUCCCAGCUAGUUCAAAUAUCUCUUUUAAAAGAUUUUUAAAAAGGAAUGAGAAAGGAAAGUCUGUGUGGUUUUUGUUAAUGAAGCAUAAGCUUCAGUGCUGGCCUGGCAUCUUUAACAGAUCAGCUUUGAAGUCGAAUCAACCUUGUAGAUCCUCAGUUUUCUCAUCUAUAAAAUGGAGCAAGCAAGAGUCAUGACACUCAGAUGCUGCGCAGACUCCAGGUGAUCCUGCGGUAUACUCGAUAUGCCUGGCAUAUCAUCAGGGGUCCCACACAUGCACAAGUUUCCCUUUCAUUCCAAACAGGGAAUGUUCUUUCCAGUUUUAAGUUAAUGCUAUUUCCUCAUCUGCAUUUUUUUUCUCUUCCAUUCUUAAUAAGUUGAGUAAGAGGGACAGUGAACUGGAAAGGGAAAACGUGAAAAUGCCGAGAAUUCUGAAAAUACAUCUUUCCAAAUUGUGCAGCUUGGUGUUGGCAAGAUGACAAGGGCCCCGGAAACCGGGUGCAAACACAGCACAGCAAAAUCACGCAGCUUGCGUGUGCAAUAUAUGUAUGUUACAUGCCAACUGCUGAACAAGUGCUUUUAAACAAAUGACAAAUAUGAUACGAUGCUCUGAGGAUCAGGCCAAGUGAACGCAAGGGUUUUCAAGAUUCAGAUGUGGACACGAGGUUCCUCUCGUUCCCGCCCACCAGCCCUUGCCAAGCCCGAGACCCCAACAUAACACUCCUUUUGCCUCAACCUUUCUAUCUGCGGCACCACACACAUGCACACACCAUCAAGCAAUCACAACUCCACCCCUCAUGUUAAGCCUGUAGGCUGUAGAAUAUCGGCCAGCACAUUAUUUUCCCAAUCAAUUUACAAACUUAACUAAUAAUUUAAUUCGCCGCAUGACAAAUCCACUAGCUCAUGCCGAAAGCAACUCAAAUGGAACGGCCAUAAAAUUCCCUUCUACGCCUUUGCUUGAUGCCAUCGUUAAAAAAGAGAAGGGAUGACAAAGUGAAAGGGAAAGUGCAGUGAUUCUUUUAUGUGAAGAUUACAUUUAAAAAUAACCGACUAACCGUCUGCACUUUUCGGGGGCCUGACGUCUCGAAACGCAUUUAGAUUGAUGCAGGCUGGGGCUGACGUUCUCGUGCUGAGUAAACAGUCAAGUGUUCUUAAUAGGAAUUGCAGUUUCUCGACAUCUGUUAGGGAAAAGGGAAUGGCGAAACAACAAUUUAGAGUGAGAUUGGUUUUGUUAAAUGCAUUUAAAUUCCAAGAUUAGUGGUGUUCUUUCUUUUUCAAUUAGCAUUUACUUGUAGAAAGGUUACAGAUGAAAGGGCUGGGGAAGAGAUCGGGUGGAUUUUUUUCCUUACUGAGAGGACACUCCAAAGCAUAGUAAAGCUAAAAUAGGAAGAGAACGUAAGACUUAAAGGAACUUAAAACUGAUGCCAAAUUGAGAUUGCAAAUCUUGAAGGGAAAGCAUUUAAAAUAAAAUAAAAUAAAAAUAAAGUGAAGUUGAGUCUGGAUUUGAUGAUCCUGUCCUCUGGACAGAAAAAUCAUAAAUUGCUUUGAGAAAAUACAGGGAUUUCUAUUUUCCAAGCCAGUUACUAAGCAAAAUUUGUGUUAUUUCUCAAAUAUAUGCCAUGGUUCUGUGUGAGUGUGUAAAGAGCUGUAACUAGCUCACUUUUUUUUUUUUUGAUAGAAACAUAAACAGAGACGAAAAAUGUAGGGAAUGUUUCACCUGUUUUACUGCCAUUAAAUAAACCUCAUCUGCUACCAAGCUGUUUUGGGUGACAUUUGCUAAAUAAAUACAUUUUGUGGGAGACUUGAACACUGAAGCACAGAGACAUGCAACCGAUGUUCUCAGAUGAAUCCUGUUUGCUUCUCAGUGCCUAUACCCCUACCCCAGGGGGAGAGUGAAGUGGUAAAUUCAGGUUUAUGUUUUCACAUUGGUAGUUUAUUUUCAAACGUACACAGCUACAACAAAAAGUACAUGCUUUUAUUACCAGCGUUUCUUGUAAUUCUCUCUCUCUUUCUGCCCCCUAACCCAAUUUUCCCCUCUCCCUCACUACCUUCCUCCCUCCCUCCACAAAUACCUUUAUUGCUUUUUUUUUAACUGGGGAGUAUUCACUAUUUCUUUACACUUCUAUAUGGAUUUCACUUUUAAAAAAUCUAUCAGCAUGCAUAUUUCGUGCAUGUCUGAAACCUUUAAAAUAUUGUUUGAUCUUCAUGAUUAUUUAAAAAUAUGUAUAUUGAGUAUUUGCUUAAGGUAAAGCCAUUGCUGCCAUUUCCAAUUAAAAAACUAAUAAAUGUAUUUUAAAAGAAUGUCUGCCAAGACUGUUCUCUGACAAAGUAUCUCUGUGGAUAUUUAAAUGGCACCAAGAUGGAUUACUGUUUCUGAUUAUUUCUCAUGUAGGGUCUCAGUGAUUUUGCAGAAAUCGUAAUUGAAGAAAAUGAUGGAAAGGAAGCUUUGAAUAUGGAGUGUUGUUAUUGCACUGACUGGACAACCAGAUGGAGCUAUUCCCAGUCCCCAGCACACAGAUAGAGAAUCUAUUCGACAAUAACUAAAGAGGUGUACAGUUCUAGAACAUUCUGCAACCAGACUUCAGGCACCAGGAGGCCUCCGUAGGCAGGGUUCCUCGGGCUUCUCAGCUGGCUUCCUUGGAGAAAUUUCAUAUGCUGAUUCCUUUCAAUUAUCUGUCAAUUUUCAAAAUGCAAAUAGAAACAUGCAGUCAUCACUUUGGUACUCACCAGCUGAUUUCUUCCAAGCACCCAGACCAUAAGUGAAUGCAGUUCAAUAUGUUCUCUUCCUUUUUUUAAGUGGAGUUAAUAUUACUGAGCAGAUUUUGGUUAGCUUCCAGGAACCCAGUGUGUGGAGAGGCAGAAUUUUAUUUUAGAAGCACAAGUUGGUUUGAAAAAUGUGAACUUACCCCAACUCUUUCUUUGUUUCAUCUUUCUUACUAGACAUGUUUUAUUUUCCUAAAGAAAACAUAAAUAAAAACAAAAAAAAAUUCUUCAUUGAUACACACACACACACACACACACACACACAUACACAAUUUAGGUCAAAUUAUUUUUACUACUUAGGAUGUCUUUAGUUAUUUUACAUAUUUAUAACACAGAAAAAAAGUAAGAAGAAAAGGAAAAAUGGUGUAUAAUCUUAAGACCAGGAGAUAACCAAUAAUAAAUAUUUUGCUAUAAUUUCUUUUCAUAUUCUAUGCAUAUACAUUUUAUGGAAUUGAGUUCACACUGUUCACAUAAUUUUGCUUUCUCUAUUUUGCCUUUACCUUUAUCAAUAAGCAUUUUCUUUAUAUCCUUAAAAUUUCUUUAUUAACGUAACCUAAUACAUAUGCACAAAAUGUUACCUAAUCAUUCGCCUGUUUAAGGGCAUUUGGUAAUUUCCAAUAUUUUUUCCUUCACGAUUUCGGGUAAUGUUUAAAUAAACCAAUUUAUGGAAAAGAGCUACCUAUGUUGGAUUACUUGCUUAGAAUGAAUUCCUGGAAAUAGAAUUACUGGGUCAAAGGGUACCAACAUAUUUAAUGUCCCCAAAGGCAUAUUGGCAAAUUGCCUUCCAUACAAAUUAUACCAAUUCCCCCUCUGUAACUAGUAUAUAAAAGUGCCUGUUUCACAGUAUCUCCCCUGCUCCAAGAUCUUGUAAAAUCUCUGCAAAUUUGAAAAAUGAAAAAAAUGAUAACUGUUGCCUGGAACAAUUUGUUAAAAGAUGCACUGAGCAAUACAUUUAUUUUUAAAAUUUUUCAUCUCACAAAGAAAUAUAAAAGCUUAUACACAGGAUGUUUUCUGACCAAUAAAUGCUAAAAAGCCAUAAUGUUUCAUCAUACAUAGUAGAUUAUUUUGUUCGAAAACCUAUUACAUUUUGCAUGCUGCUAUAGCAGUCUUUCUAGUCCAGAAAACACUUCACUAAAACAGCAACAAUAUCAGUUUACUGCAUAAGAUUGCCGGCAGCUCACACUAGAUUCUAAACACGAUUGAAUAGGCAUCUUUAAGAGUGGAAUAUCCAUGACUUAUCUUGCCAGGCUUGGUACUAUGCCAGUGGAGAAGGUGGAUGGUGCCAUUGUUAUUUGGGCAGCCAUGCCGAUCUCAAGGAGGAAAGCUGAAAUUGUUUGAAAACCUGGUUUAAGACAGUCUUUUUGAGAUUUAGCCCUAGAGAACACUCAACUAAACAACCAAGAGAGGC